rnacentral:lncRNA from 1 species
CGCAGUAAGUACAAGGGCAUACGGCCCUCCUGCGUGACAUGUGACAGGUGCAUAUGUGAUUGAAGGCAAGGAUAAAGUAGACAAAACACAGUGACAAAGCACAACUUUGGAGCUUGGAGUACCAUUCUAGCCAAACACCCCUACCGGACAACUCCAACUCCACUUAGAGACAGCUCUAGCUGGAUUUCUAGAGUGGAGCUGCUCUGUGUGGAGUUGAAGCCAUGUCAAACAGGCCCUAAGUCAGCUGAAGAACUGAGCAGAAACACUGUUUAUCAUGAGAAGACUAAACAUAGGGGGGGCUGAGGGGGGCCUGCCACCCCCAAGCUUUCCAUAACUCUCUUAAUACACCUCAUAGAUUAGAUGUUUAAUUAUCUAAUUAGCUAGUUAAUGAUAUUAUCUGUACUAAGAUUUUUAUUCUUAUUUUAUAUUAAUCUCUAAUAGUUUCUUAUACAAAUAGAUAUUUUUAAUAUUUUCUUCAUAUCUUUUAUUUUUAUUAUUACCUAUCAAACAUCAGUUUGUCUCCUACCACACACUCUAAUUAGCUAGUUAAUUGAGCGUUUUUCUUGUUUAAUCCUUCUUAAUUGAUCUCCAACAAUGGGAUCUAUAUUAUUUAGCAUUAGUCUUCCUAUUAUCUUUCUUAUCUCCUAUGUUUCUAUCAUUAUUCGUCUAAACUCUAAACAAUCAUUUAGCCCGUUGUACUCAACUUUUAAACACUAACAGUGGUAUGGUGUUUCUGUUUAACCUUCUAUUUAAAUGACUAUUUUUACCUGUUGAAGUGAUCGUUUUGUCUAAGACUAAACAAUAUGUAACUGAUUGUUUGUCAUUUGAUGUUAGGAUCUAGUACUAAUUAAUUUUGCCCCUGUUUAACUACUUGUUUUUAUUGUGAUUCUUUUCCUGUGCAAAGAAAUAGAAUGAUCAAGUGAAGGUUAGAGUCCUUAGACUAGUUAAAUUUCUCUUUUAUUUUUUUAUUUUUUUUGUUUUUUUGCAUCGCAACGCAAACGUUUAUUUUGGUGCUAUGUACACCUUUGUUAUAUAAUAUUUUGAUACACAUGAUUGUUUUUGGUUUACACGGCCCCCCUAUGUUUAAAUCCUGGCUCCGCCCCUGCCACUACAUAAGAGAAUGUGUCUCAGAAGGUGUGGUAGAUUUGCAGCAUGUGAGCACACAUGCUCAGCUGGCUGACAUUCUGACAAAGCCAUUGGGCAGGAUCAAAUUUGCUGAAAUGAGGAGGCAGCUGGGAGUCAUCAGAGUUGAUCGCGAUUAAAGGGUGAUUUGUUGAAGUCAUAUUCACUGUAAUCGUGUGUCAAUGUAUCAAGAGCAUGUAGUUGCAUGAGGCGUCACAUUAGUUGAUUUCUGAAACAACCAUCACGUUUGGUUAGCGUAGACUCAAGGCGGGUCGAAGAUGUGCACGUCUGCGCUGUCUGCUACUCAUGUAAGUGUAUGAUGAUGGAAGCAAAGGCUGACAUAUGUCUCCAAAGGUGUGGAAAUUAUGGCGGAUCAUGUACAGAAGAUAUCAAUGGACAACCUCCAUUUCAUUUUUUUAACCUUUUUCAAGUAAUUAUGGUUGGCAAAAUAAGUCGGCUGUUAUUCAGGUAUGGUGCAAAUGAACACCAACCGCGUUGAGGUACUUCCCAGCACGAGCAAUAAUCCCACGAUGGCACUACGUACCGAUCUGCACGGGGACAUUGAGGGGAGUCCCUAUCUCUGUAGACCGAGGCCUAGAGGUUUGAAGUUUUUUUGCAAGACCCACACAGACGCUCGCCUACAUGGGCGCACACUCGCCACUAUGAACACACCCACGCACAUCCUAUCCUUAUGAGCACCUUCGAAUAACCAAGUUAGAUCGGCAACUCUCGAGAUUGACGAAGUCACCACAGACGCCUUGUUGUCGACGGAUAUGUUGCCUAUCACAAAAAGAAUAGCGCCAUUAAAUUCUAAAAUAAAUCUAGGAAAAUAUGAGCACCUGUGUCAAGUCAAAAACUUGAACCUGAGUGAGCAGGUUCCACCACAAGGAACCCAACCAGCUAAGCUACACUCAGUUCGCAAGUUUCAGUGAAGUUACAACAGUUGCACCUUGGAACAUUCCAAAUGUUCCUGAUAUUUCCCACAAACUCAGAGGCGGCAAGCUGGAUCUGCAUGAAAAUAAUAAAACAGAGUAAUAAUACUCAUUAGAGAAAUUUUACCAAUGCUUGAAAACAAUAAGAGCCAUCCAUCCACCUAGACCUAAUGGUUCAAAAAUGAAAGGAACCUAGUGGGAAGAACUUAAGUGGUGGGCCAAAACAUAAAUUUGGUGGACCCAGAACUCACUCUAAAUUUAAAUCAAAGGGUAUGUCACAUGCCUAAUACGGGCCGCCACCCCUGAUGGAGCGAAUGGGUCAGCAAGGGUCCGAGGAGGUAUGAUGAGCAGCCCAGCACCAUACAGGGAGGUGCAGGCCGUGCAGCUCCGCUCCCGUCGCUGACAUCAUCAACCAUUAUCUAGUUACCUUAAUUAAAUCUUAAUAGAUUUGGAAAGAGUUACCUAGUUAAGGAAUCGAGUUUGAGUUUAGAAGGAAAGGAAAAUCCAAAUUCUAUAAGGAUCUCCUAAGAUUGCAUAAGGGCCAAGUCUCCAUGGACUACAAAUACAAGAGGUUGUGUAACAGUUGCAAUCAAGAAUAGAAUAGCCAAAAGGCAUUCCCUUCCUCUCUUCUUCUCCGUGCGCCAAUCUCUCUCUUCUCCCUCCCUAACGCCGCCGUUGCCCCCUGCCUCGCCUGAGCACACAGACACCACCACCUCCACCAUGGCCAUCGCCCACCUAGGGCACCCCUACAUCUCGCCUGUUACAUCGGGUAUCUGGAGACCAACUCGAUCAUUUAGACAUCCAUGGCAUCCACCACCACCAUGACCACAGAAAUCAAGAAGUAGAUGGCAACCUGCUCCACCACCAUGAACAACCGCCUCAACAGGAUCAAUGCAAACUUUGCCAAUCUUAAUGCCACAUUAAAUCGGAUCGAGCCUGCACACCACAAGGAGGACGACCUCAAUCUCAAACACAAGUUGGAGGAACCCUAAUCAUCUGAAACCAUGGAAAUCAACACUAUAUUAGCAGAUACCCUGCUCCUAGCACCUGAGGUACAGUUAUGCCUAGAUCCAUCUAUGCAGGUAUAGCCAUCAGUGAUACUUCUUCGGCAUCAACACCAGCAACACUAGCACAAGACGUGGCCCAAACCUUACCACAGCAACCAGCGCAGCAGGCGCCCUCUCCUACAUCACCAUAGGACCCUCUCCCUU